CACAUCAAUCCGGAAAUAUCUAUGAUGUCAUAAUCUAAAUGCAGCCAUGACCUCAUGAUCCAAAAAUUGCAAUGCCAGGAGGGUAAUCCCAUAAUUUUCAAUGUGUGAUUCCCCACGAGAUUUCCAUCCUGACAUCAUGAUUCAAAAAUAACCAUGACAUCAUUAUACAAAAAUAGCACUGACAUCAGGGUAAUCACAUAAUUUUCAAUGCGAGAUUCUCCAAAGUGACGCACGCGCAGACAAAAACAAGCUAUGACAAAAUAAAAUUGACCUAUGAAAUUGGCGGGUUGUCAUCCCUUCCAUUUCAAGUUUGCGUUUACUAAAUAAGUUUCAAUUCUUAUUGGAUGAAUUUUGAGAGGUGGAGCAAAUUAAAGGCAACAAGGGUAAAUUGUAAAUUCUCAUCUUUUUCUAAUAUAGCUUCUUUGUCACAAAACUUCCUAUAUAAACAUAUGGAAACUUCUGCAGAUUUUAUCUUAAGUUAAAUACGAGUUCUUUUCGAGUGACUUAAGUUAGACCUUUAAAAAGAUGAAUAGUCCAAUAAGAAAACCAUCAGCCAGCUUAUGCACUGAGGAUAUGGUGACAUGUGCCUAUAAUAACCUACAUAGGCUAGUAUGGCACAGGAUGGCCAAACACAUUUUUAAGUGUCACAGAGAAGAGGACGCAAAAAGAAAAAGAGAGUCCGAAAAUAAACAAAACGUAGAAGAUCAGACAGAAAGUUGGGAUAACGAAAAUUAUCUUAAUAAAAAUAAACACAACGCCGAAGAUCAGGAAGAAAGUUGGGAUAACGAAAAUUAUCUGACUGAAAAUAAACAAAACGCAGAAGACCAAGAAGCAAGUUGGACUAACGAAAAUUAUCUAACUGAAAAUAAACAAAACGUUAACGAUCAGGAUGAAAGUUGGAAUAA